rnacentral:lncRNA from 1 species
GGGCGCCCUCGUCUUCCUUGAACAGGAGCAGCCCCCGUCGCCUCGCGCCUCCCUGCUGUUUGUCUCCCCGUCGGGCGGCGGGCAGGGAGGUCUGGAAAGCCUUCAGGAUAAGCACAGCGGGAACACUGCGCUUUCACCCGGAGGAGGCCACACACGGAGACGGGACGCGGAGACCCACACACACACACACACACACACACACUCACACACGCAGAUACGUGCAAACAAAAAGAAAUCUCCAUUCAGUCCAUCUUUCAACAUGAAGCAAACACACGGCAAACAUUGCAAAAUCCGUGCUUGGCUGGCGUGGCCACAGCGCCUGCAGACGGGCAUCAACGCGGAUGCAGGCGUUAACUCCUUGUGUGCCGCCUGGCGGUUUAUUCCUCACACGAAUGGAGAAGCUGGGUUUUGUGAAAGCCCCUAGAGCAAUCAAAUGUGAUGGUGGACAGAGUGUGCGAUUAAGGGAGAGAAGCAGAACACUUCAAAUAACAUUUUAAAGGACGCCUGCAUUUGAAAUGAGGAGAGAAUACUCGCUUCCAAAUGCUGCGUCUGAGCACCGCUGGCAGGCACAUCAGCGAUGGAGACAGAUGCCAGCAGCCAGCCAGACCCCCAUGGCAGGGCUGCAUCUAAAGUGGAUCCAGUGUGCAGGUGCCUGAGCUCCAGGUCCCCGGUGAGCAGCUGCCCGAGCUCCAGCUCAGCUGUGGUCUGAGAUCACUUCAUGUGAUUUAAAUGAAAGAAGAGGGCAUGAAGGCUGAGGCAGACGGAUUACACCACAGAGGGGGCCACUGGCUGCUCCAGAUGAAGGUGAGAACAACGCAAGGUUCCCGCCAAAAUGCCCCGGGAAGAAAUUCCCUUCAGAGCCUGAAUCUGGCAAAAACUCCAACACCGUGUUAAUCGCCAUAGCUGGUUAAUCGCCAUAGCUGGAUUCGAUCAUCUGCCCUGGAAAUACACGGGAGGCAGCUGGCUCGGGCACAGCUUUAAAAGUAGAAGUGGUGCACACUGAUCUUAAGUCCUAACUUCGAGUUACUGUGAGACCUCGCAGAAUCUGUGUGCUUUCCUUCCCCAAAUAUGUAAAUGAUAUUUUAACAUGUAUGUGGAUGAAUUUGGCCUGAGAGCUACCUGGAAGAGAGGCGUAUGUUUUACUUUUAGAUAAUUAUUAAUGUUUUGUCAAAUAAUUCUAUUAACACAAUUUCUAGAUAAAUAUUUUGUAAUAAAGACAAGGGGGGGCCGGCCUGGUGGCAUAGUGUUUAAUUUCGUGUGCUCUGCCUUGGUGGCUCAGGGUUUGCGGUUCAGAUCCCUGGCGCGGACCUGCACACCGCUCAUCAGGCCAUGCUGUGCCGCAUACAAAGUAGAGGAAGACUGGCACAUAUGUUACCUCAAGGACAAUCUUCCUCAAGCAAAAAAAAAAAAAGACAAGGAAUAAAUUUAUAUUUUCUCCUUUGCCUCUCAGAAAUUCUCUUUGCUUUGCCAAAUAAAAUAGAAUAUAAUUUUUAAGCAAAAAA